UAUAGUAACUUCAUUACAUUUAAUAGGGACACAUCAGAUAAUGAACAGGGGCAGGAAUCUGUGGUUGCUCAUGGCAUACAGGAAUCAGUUACAUCCCAGCUUCACUCUUUUCCUAGCUCACCUCAAAGCUUAGACUCCACUAUUGCUAAAAAUUCAGAAGAAGAAAAGCAUGACAGGUUUGAAGAAUCUCAAUCUCUCCUCUCAUUUACUCAUUUUACAAACAUACUGAGCUUUCACAGUUUAACAACCAAAGUAAAGGAAUCUGUGCAAAAUGCACAGGAGGAUUUGAACUUUAGUGAAGAACUCACCCAAUCUGAAAAUAAUGAUGAAAUAUUACAAGGAAGUAAAGAAACUGCAGUGAAAUUACAAGCAAAUCAGAGGGUUAGUGAGAAUAUGCAAGAGAAGGGAGAUGUGGCAAUGUCCCAAGAAAGAGUUCUGUUGUCCCCAUUAGCAGUGCAAGAUAAUGAACAAAGUAGUGAAAAAACUAUACAAGAUGCGAGAUUAGUAAUAUAUAACAAUACUUCACCCCUUUUAUCUGUAGAAUCCCAGUUAGAAUCUAAAAUCUCCCAAGGUCAACAUUCACAAAUAUCUAGAUAUUCAAACCCUGAGGAACCCGUUUCUGAGGGUAGUGAAAGACAGGAAUUUUCUAAUAUAAAAGAUAACAGUGAUGUCCCUAUCUCCAAAGACCAGCAGCAUGCAUCUUCAGAUUUAAAGUUAGACAAUACAAUAGAUUCACCAGUACAACAUGAAUAUAUAAGUGAAGAUUUUUAUUCUAGUGAACAGCGUGUGUUAUCAAAAGAGGAAGCAAUUGAACAUAAAGAGGACAGAACAGAUAAGAAUGAAGAAAUGCAUACUUUAAACCUACAAGAAACUGAAACUUACAUAGAGAGGAACUCACAAAGAGAAAUAGCUGAAAUGAUGCAAGAUGAAGGACAAAAUAAUCUGAAAACACAUAAACAAGAAUCAGUAGAUUCAGAAUUUGACACACCAAGUUCUGGGGAGUUGCCAGCAAAUGUAGAUAGUCUUUUGAACUUCAAGAAAAUCCUAAAUAAAGCUGAGUCACCUUUUACUCAAGGAAUAUCAGACAAAACCAAACUAACUGAGCUUUACAGUACAGAACAAAAUUCAGCAGCAGAAAGUCAAGUAAUAGAAAACACUGAAGUAAAAGAGAUAACAGAGGAAUCAGAGAGCAAAAAUGACCAGGCAGGUUGGUAUGAAAAUAUCUCUGGAAACAUAGAUUUUAAUAUGGACAUAUCAGAUGAUCAAAAGGAGCAGGAAUCUAUAGUUUCUCAAGACACUUGGGAAUCAGUUGUAGCGCAGCUUUUAUCUUCUUCCAGUUUAUCUGAGGACUUAGACACAGCUGAUAAUUCAGAGAAAGACAAGCAAAACCAGUUUGAAGAACCACAGCCUGUCUUUUCUUUUAGUCAUUAUAAAAACAUACUGAGCUUCCAAUGUUUUGCAACCAAAGAUGAGCAUUCUCUGCAAAGGCUACGAGAGACUCUGAGCUUCAAUGAUGAAAAUGGCCAGACUACAAAUGGCAAAGAAAUUGAACUGAAAGGCCAAACAAAUCAGAAGAUUAAUGAACAAGUACUAGAGAAGAGUGAUGUAGACAUUUUCAAAGAAAGUGUUCUAUUUUCUCCGUUGACAGUGCAAAAUAUUGAACAAGAUAGUGAAAACACAAUGAAAGAUACUAAAUUAGUAAAAGAUAGCUCAUUUCUUUCAUUUUCAGAAUCCCAGUUAGAACACAGAGUAGACCCUUUAUUUACAUAUCCAAAAUGCAAGGAACACAAUUCUAAAAGAAAUGAAAGAGAGGAAUUUUCUAAUAUAAAAGAGAAAAGUGAAGUUUCUAUUUUAGAAGAUGAGCAGCAGGUAUCUUUAGAAUCAAAAAUAAAUAUAAAAGAUUUACCAGAACAACAUGGAUACUUCUGUGAAGAUUCUUAUUCUAGUCAACAAAAUAUUAUUAAAAAGGGAGUAAGGCAGGGUUACUUAGCUGAAAAUUUUUCAGAGGAUAAUAGUCAUGAACUUGGCAUUGAUCACAUUGUUGACACAAAGAAAAUUCAAGUUUCAGACCAGUUAUCUUCUCUGCAUUUUGAUGAAUCACUAUCAAAACACCAUGUAAAUAAUGAAGUACAGGAACAACAUAUUACUUUGGAUUCUGAAGAGGAAAGAGAACUCACUGAUGGGGAAUAUACUGAAAAUUCUUCAGACAAAGGUUUGCAUGAUGUCUCACAAGAUUCCAUAAAAGAUCAUUUUUCCAACUCAAAUGUUGAUGAUGAUGUGUUAGACAAAAUUGUAGUGAAUAGCAAAGACAUGAAUAAUUUUUCCCAAGACAGAAUAAAACAGCCAGAGAAUUUUUCACAUGUUUCAGAGUGUGGUGAAGAUAACCUAGAACACAGUGAGCAAAUGAUAAAAAAUUAUGAGCCAAAUAAACCCCAAAAUGAAAAGAGAGCAAAUAUUUUGGCUAAUCAAGAAACAUCUUCAGUAGCUACAUCUGAGGAAAUAAUACAAAGUAAGAGUAUAAUUCUUGAGCAAGACAGUCACACAUUAAAUUAUUUACUGUAUGAUUUGCAAAACAAAGGCAAUGAAGUUCCACAAUCUUCUAUGCCAUUUCCACAGGAGCAAAUAGAUGACGAAUACAAUAAAAGAGAACAUAUUUCAAAUCCGUCUGAACAGCACUCUGAUAAUAUUAGAAUUAGUGAUGAUUCAUUAACAGUAAAUGUUCUUGGUGAACAAGUCCUACAAGAACAAAUUAUAGCACCUGAUGCUAGUGCUGAUACUUUUUCUGAAGAGGAGCUUCAAUCUCAACAAAUUUCCAUGAAUAUACCACACCAUAAAAAAGAGCCAAUAGAUAUAGAACUGGAUGAUUCAUCUUCCCAACAUGAGCCUCUGAUAUCAGAAUGUGGGACUGGGGAUAAUAGUAAUUCAGAUCCUGGAAAGAAAUAUAGAACUCAGAUGCUACAUACUAAAAGAAAAGAGUCUUCCAUAUCAUCAGAUUUAGAAGUACCAGAGCCCAGCAGUUCAAGUCAUCAUGAAGAUAUGGAAAGCAUAAAUACAGAAAAUGAAUCUGAAUACCAGAAAAUAUCAUCAUAUCCUCAUUCAAAUGACAAUGUAACACCAAAGUUACAGGAUGUAGCAAAAUCACAGAAAAUGUCUGAAGAAAGUUUAGUUACAACAAAAAUAACUGCAGAAUCCAAUCAUAUCCUACUUAAUGAACACGAACAUUUAUUCCAAGAACAAUCUAGUGUAGUUGAGAACUCUGAAAAAAGAAACCUAGCAUUACAUUUAGAAUCUUUUGAGUCUACUGAAUUGCAAACCCAGGCACCUCUUAAAAAUCAUGGUGGCUCUAAUCCUAACAAGCCUUUGUUACAUAUUCCCCAUUAUCAUGAUUCAGCACACAACAACAUAGAACGUGUACCUUCGCAAAGUGAGCAGGGCUUGGAAACACUCCAUUUAAAUGCUGUGAAACAUAGAGAUCUGAAAGGUAAAAGACACAUUGAUAGGGAAGAUGCUCUUCCAACUGAAAACAUAAAUCAUAUAAAAAAAUUAACUAUUUCUGAAAAAGCAACAGACAGUAAGGACAAAAGCAAAAAAAAUACUGAUGAUCAGAAAAAAACAGACUCACAAAAUAUAAAUUAUAAAAAUGGUGUCAUGACAGAGGGGGGAGUGACUAGUAUUUUUACAAAAACUUCACAUUUUCUUGGAAGUUUGUUUAGUAAAAAUAAUAAUGGAGACUUUAGAAUAAAUUCUGAACAAAAAAGUCCUGUCCUAGACCCAAAUGAAAACAGGGAAGAUAUUAGGAUAAACCAGAUAAAGGUAGAAUUUAAUAACGUGCAAAGGACAGAGGCUGAGUUAAAGGAAAACGAAUCUGAACAAGAGAAAGACACAAUUCAGAUGGCAGAAGCUACAAAUAAUUUAAACAUAGAUAAUUUUAAAAUGCUAAAAGGUAGAUCUGAGGAAGGACAACUUGGCAUUCAGGAAAAAAAUAUUACAUCAGAAACAGGAACAAACAACAAGGAAACUAAUAAAACCAUAAUCUGGGAGACAGGGUCUAUGUCCCAGAAAACCAGGAAAGAAGGCCAAAGAUUAAUUGAAGGGGACACAGAUAUAUCCAACCCAUUCAUUGCGUACCAACAGCUUUAUUCAAAAUUGUCUCAGGAAGUGAAGCAACCUUUAAAGAGUCUAUGUGAAAAAAACAAACUCUUGGUGCUAGAGCAACAGUUUAAAAAAGUUCAGCAUGAUAUCACUACUUUUACAUGUGAAGACAGUUUCAUGCCGAAGAAACAAGUGACUGCUUCUGUGGAAGAGGAACAUAAUCUGGACAUUGACUAUGAGAAAUGUAUAAAGGAGAAAAUGAAUUUUCUUCCAGAGGUACAAGAUCUUCUAUCAGCCAUCAGAAUGAAGUGUGAAGCCCAAAAUGCAGAAUCAGAUAUAGCUGAUGAGAGAAAAUUAUCAGACAAAGCUCCAAAAGAAGACCAUCACAUGCAUACAGCUUUGUAUAAAGAACAUAACAGUGGCCAACAUUCAAAAGCAAUAACAAUUGCUCCAGUGAAUGCUCAGGAGAAAAUGUACAAUUCAGCAAAAAAUAUACAGUUAGAUGCUAAAAAACCUUUAUCACAGAUCUUUUUCCUAAUUCAAAACUACAUUCCCAAUAAUGAAGAAGACUGGAUAUAUCAGAUUCUCCUGCAUUUUGAUUGUCUUGACGUUGGUGACUUUGUAAAAUCUGUAUUUUCAGCAGCGGCAACUGUUAGCAAAAAGGUUGUGACAGCGUUGCCUGAAGAUAUGAGACCUGGUCCUGAUCUUUAUGGUUUCCCAUGGGAAAUAGUGAUUUGUGCUGCAGUUGUUGGAGUUUUUACAGUCUUACUGUUUCUGUGUAGGAGUUAUCAAUCAUGGACAAGUCAAGUCAUUUAAGUGACGCUGCCCAGCUAUUGCUGUCUGUUUAAAAAUUUCACCAUCAUGAAAUCUAAGGAAGAAUUUUUGUGCUUAGUACCAUUAAAAAGCUACACCACAGGAGAGAUCACUUUUGGAAAAAGUAAAAGGCUUUUUUUUUGGGGGGGGGGCGGCGGGGGGAAAUGGCUUAGAUCUGCAAAAAGUAAACUUGCUUGUUUCAGAUUGAAGUCCCUCCAUGUCGGGGAAAGAGAAGGGCUUUGCUUGAUAGUUGGCAGUGAUACAUCUUUCAUUAAAUACACUUCACUGCAUCAUUCAUUCAGUCUGUCCUGUGCGGUAAGUUGUCUGGAGACUUAAACAAUGAGUAUUGUGAUGAGAUUAGUGAACUAUAUAUGCUCAACUUCUAGCUUGCAAAAUUCUUUUAAGGCUCCUUUACAAGACAUUUCAGCUGAAUACAGUCCUGUUGCUACACGACAUUUGCUGGUUAAGUAGGGGCACAUAUUAGAGAGGUUUUGUGUGUUUCGAAAAGAAUUAAUAGAAAUUCUUUCAAACUACAAGACCAAUAAUGCUUGUGAGUUCCUGGAAUUUAUGAAUGAUGUCCCCUCUAUGUCAUGGGUAGCUUUUCUGUGUGAUAUUACUGAUCACUUGAAUUUCCUCCAGGGAUCUGUUUGAAAAAGUGAGUGCCUUUCAGAGGAAUCUUGAAAUCUUUGACAUGAAAAAUGUUGCACUUCCCCACGUUGUGUGUUGUUGCUACAGAUAAAACUUCAAUGAAAAUGAUGCAAGAAUUCCUAAGCAAUCUGAUCAAAAAUUUUAAAAUGCGAGUGGAGAAUUUUAAAAUUCCAAAGGAUUUGCUUUUGUUUGUCUCUGCCAAUGGACUGUGCCCUUUUGAAGCAAAGAACAUUCUUGAUUCAAUUAACGAAACUGCCUUUCAAUUAGAAAUUGUAAGGCUCCAGAGCUCAGAUGUCUUGAAGGCAAAGUUCAGAGAAGUGGGACUUCAUGAUUUGUGGACUCCAAUAUGCUGACCUGUUUCAGAAUUGUCAGAAUCUAGUCAUCUAUCUGUUAACAGAGUUGGGAUCAACGUACCUCCGCAAAUCUGGGUUUUCUAUCAUGAACGUUAUAAGAGACCAACAUCGCAAUCACCUGAUAGAUGAGCAUCUUCACCAGUGCAUGUGCUUUGCCCUGACCUACAAACCACUCUUCACAAAGCUUGCUAAAGAUUGUAACAAACACAGGUAAUGAUGGUGUUUUAUAAUCUUUGUUAAAAGGUAGAAACACUAAUACUUAUGUUGCAGUCAAAGUCUUUAUUGGCAGCUGAAGUGGUUUUAAUUUUGUCAGCCUUCUGAGCAAAUGGCCCGCCUCUUGUAAUAAAAUUCUGAAAUUGGCCCACUCUAAUUGAGAAUCACUGGCCUAGGGUCUCUCAUCAAUCCUUGAUCCUAGCUGUCGUGAAUGGCUAACAGCUUGUCAACGUAAGGAUAUUUCUUAAUGUAUGUGACAGUAUAGAUCCCACUGAGGGUGUCAAUGAACCUCUUGCAUUCAAGUCUCUCCUCCUCUUCCCCCUUCCCACCCCCCCUUUUUUUUAACAAUAGUGUCUGCUUACACUGCAUACACCUUGUACUCCUGUACAAGGGCAUUAAGGCCUGAGUGACUUCAACCUUCUCUGUUCCUUCUAAUCUGUGAAUGUCUAACCCACUAGGUUUUGCCAAACCUUCAAAACUCUUGAUAUUUCAACAUAUAACCACUGUGAUUAGAAUUGACCCAUCUGGACCGAGUAUCAGCAGUUAGAUCCACCUGUUCAAAUCUCCCAGUACAGGGCUACUUAACAUAGCAUGAAGGUCUCAUCAGAUCCUGAGGAGACAAGCUAACAGACAAGCCAAUUUUAUCUAUUGCCCAAUCUAGUCACAAGCGAUGCCAAAGACCAGUGCAGAGAAAAGGACACCGAGAAAAGACUCAUCACUGAUCUCAACACCUCCAGUACCCAAGUCCCAGGACUGAGAGAGGGCGCUCCAAACACGGAGUUGUGGACUCUGGGCAGAACUCGGUGUUAUUCCACAAGGACAGACUCGUACAUCUCCCAACCUAUCUGAACACAUCUCAGAACCAGGGUCAGAUGCAGUCAUUGCACUUGAUGCAUUGGAUGUCGGCUGACUGAACACUGCUGGUAGAAACUGCUGCCUAUAGAUUCGGGAAGUCCUCAUACAAAGUGGGAAACCUUCCACUAGGAAUACUUGCUCUUCAAAAUGGCAAAGAUUUUUCAUAUGGCCAGUCCAAUGUGAUCUAGACCCAGUAGAGGUCUUGAUAUUGAAGCUCCCUGACUACGUGCUGCACCUGAAAUAUGCUGGAUUAGCAUUCAACACACUCUCUCUCAAGGUCCACCUUGCAGCAAUAUUGGUGUGUCACACUCUGGUAUACUCAUUUGGGAUCUCGCAUGUGACAAUAUCAAAAUUUCCUCGGGGCCUCCUUCAUAUUUACUUCCUGGUUAGACUGACUCCCAUGUGGGCCCUCAACAUUGUUCUCCUAAAACUCCUGUAGACUCAUAAGAACAUAAGAAUGGCCAUACAGGAUCACACAUAUGGUCCAUGUAGCCCAGUAUGCUGACUUCAAACAGUGGCCAGUGCCAGAUGCUCCAGAGGGAAUGA